rnacentral:rRNA from 1 species
GAUGAACGCUGGCGGCGUGCCUAAUACAUGCAAGUCGAGCGAACAGACGAGGAGCUUGCUCCUCUGACGUUAGCGGCGGACGGGUGAGUAACACGUGGAUAACCUACCUAUAAGACUGGGAUAACUUCGGGAAACCGGAGCUAAUACCGGAUAAUAUAUUGAACCGCAUGGUUCAAUAGUGAAAGACGGUUUUGCUGUCACUUAUAGAUGGAUCCGCGUCGCAUUAGCUAGUUGGUAAGGUAACGGCUUACCAAGGCGACGAUGCGUAGCUGACCUGAGAGGAUGAUCAGGCACACUGGAACUGAGACACGGUCCAGACUCCUACGGGAGGCAGCAGUGGGGAAUAUUGGACGAUGGGCGCAAGCCUGAUCCAGCCAUACCGCGUGGGUGAAGAAGGCAUUCGGGUUGUAAAGCCCUGGUGUUGGGAAAGAAAAGCAGCAGGUUAAUACCCCGCUGUUCUGACGGUACCCAAAGAAUAAGCACGGGCUAACAUCGUG